rnacentral:rRNA from 1 species
CUCAAAGGAAUUGACGGGGACCCGCACAAGCGGUGGAUGAUGUGGUUUAAUUCGAUGCAACGCGAAAAACCUUACCUACCCUUGACAUGCCAGGAAUCCUGCAGAGAUGUGGGAGUGCUCGCAAGAGAGCCUGGACACAGGUGCUGCAUGGCUGUCGUCAGCUCGUGUCGUGAGAUGUUGGGUUAAGUCCCGCAACGAGCGCAACCCUUGCCAUUAGUUGCUACGAAAGGGCACUCUAAUGGGACUGCCGGUGACAAACCGGAGGAAGGUGGGGAUGACGUCAAGUCCUCAUGGCCCUUAUGGGUAGGGCUACACACGUCAUACAAUGGCCGGUACAGAGGGCUGCCAACCCGCGAGGGGGAGCCAAUCCCGUAAAACCGGUCGUAGUCCGGAUUGCAGUCUGCAACUCGACUGCAUGAAGUCGGAAUCGCUAGUAAUCGCGGAUCAGCAUGUCGCGGUGAAUACGUUCCCGGGUCUUGUACACACCGCCCGUCACACCAUGGGAGCGAGUUCUGCCA